GGCAGCGCGGGGCAACCUGGCGGCGAGUGGCGAACGGGUGAGUAAUAUAUCGGAACGUACCCUGGAGUGGGGGAUAACGUAGCGAAAGUUACGCUAAUACCCGCAUACGAUCUAAGGAUGAAAGUGGGGGAUCGCAAGACCUCAUGCUCCUGGAGCGGCCGAUAUCUGAUUAGCUAGUUGGUGGGGUAAAGGCCUACCAAGGCAUCGAUCAGUAGCUGGUCUGAGAGGACGACCAGCCACACUGGAACUGAGACACGGUCCAGACUCCUACGGGAGGCAGCAGUGGGGAAUUUUGGACAAUGGGCGCAAGCCUGAUCCAGCAAUGCCGCGUGAGUGAAGAAGGCCUUCGGGUUGUAAAGCUCUUUUGUCAGGGAAGAAACGGUGGGGGCUAAUAUCCCCUGCUAAUGACGGUACCUGA
rnacentral:rRNA from 1 species